rnacentral:rRNA from 1 species
ACAAUGAAGAGUUUGAUCCUGGCUCAGGAUGAACGCUAGCUACAGGCUUAACACAUGCAAGUCGAGGGGCAGCAUUUCAGUUUGCUUGCAAACUGGAGAUGGCGACCGGCGCACGGGUGAGUAACACGUAUCCAACCUGCCGAUAACUCGGGGAUAGCCUUUCGAAAGAAAGAUUAAUACCCGAUGGUAUAAUCAGACCGCAUGGUCUUGUUAUUAAAGAAUUUCGGUUAUCGAUGGGGAUGCGUUCCAUUAGGCAGUUGGUGAGGUAACGGCUCACCAAACCUUCGAUGGAUAGGGGUUCUGAGAGGAAGGUCCCCACAUUGGAACUGAGACACGGUCCAAACUCCUACGGGAGGCAGCAGUGAGGAAUAUUGGUCAAUGGGCGCAGGCCUGAACCAGCCAAGUAGCGUGAAGGAUGACUGCCCUAUGGGUUGUAAACUUCUUUUAUAUGGGAAUAAAGUUUUCCACGUGUGGAAUUUUGUAUGUACCAUAUGAAUAAGGAUCGGCUAACUCCGUGCCAGCAGCCGCGGUAAUACGGAGGAUCCGAGCGUUAUCCGGAUUUAUUGGGUUUAAAGGGAGCGUAGGUGGACAGUUAAGUCAGUUGUGAAAGUUUGCGGCUCAACCGUAAAAUUGCAGUUGAUACUGGCUGUCUUGAGUACAGUAGAGGUGGGCGGAAUUCGUGGUGUAGCGGUGAAAUGCUUAGAUAUCACGAAGAACUCCGAUUGCGAAGGCAGCUCACUGGACUGCAACUGACACUGAUGCUCGAAAGUGUGGGUAUCAAACAGGAUUAGAUACCCUGGUAGUCCACACAGUAAACGAUGAAUACUCGCUGUUUGCGAUAUACAGUAAGCGGCCAAGCGAAAGCAUUAAGUAUUCCACCUGGGGAGUACGCCGGCAACGGUGAAACUCAAAGGAAUUGACGGGGGCCCGCACAAGCGGAGGAACAUGUGGUUUAAUUCGAUGAUACGCGAGGAACCUUACCCGGGCUUAAAUUGCAUUUGAAUAUAUUGGAAACAGUAUAGCCGUAAGGCAAAUGUGAAGGUGCUGCAUGGUUGUCGUCAGCUCGUGCCGUGAGGUGUCGGCUUAAGUGCCAUAACGAGCGCAACCCUUAUCUUUAGUUACUAACAGGUCAUGCUGAGGACUCUAGAGAGACUGCCGUCGUAAGAUGUGAGGAAGGUGGGGAUGACGUCAAAUCAGCACGGCCCUUACGUCCGGGGCUACACACGUGUUACAAUGGGGGGUACAGAAGGCAGCUACCUGGUGACAGGAUGCUAAUCCCAAAAGCCUCUCUCAGUUCGGAUCGAAGUCUGCAACCCGACUUCGUGAAGCUGGAUUCGCUAGUAAUCGCGCAUCAGCCAUGGCGCGGUGAAUACGUUCCCGGGCCUUGUACACACCGCCCGUCAAGCCAUGAAAGCCGGGGGUACCUGAAGUACGUAACCGCAAGGAGCGUCCUAGGGUAAAACUGGUAAUUGGGGCUAAGUCGUAACAAGGUAGCCGUACCGGAAGGUGCGGCUGGAACACCUCCUUU